UUCCUACGGGAGGCAGCAGUGGGGAAUUGUUCGCAAUGGGCGCAAGCCUGACGACGCAACGCCGCGUGGAGGAUGAAGAUUUUCGGAUCGUAAACUCCUGUCGAAUGGGACGAAUGGCCUGGCCGUGAACAACGGCCGGGAAUGACGGUACCGUGAGAGGAAGCCCCGGCUAACUCCGUGCCAGCAGCCGCGGUAAUACGGGGGGGGCAAGCGUUGUUCGGAAUUACUGGGCGUAAAGGCUCGUAGGUGGCCACCUAAGUCCGACGUGAAAUCCCUCGGCGCAACCGGGGAACUGCGUCGGAUACUGGGUGGCUUGAAUCCGGGAGAGGGACGUGGAAUUCCAGGUGUAGCGGUGAAAUGCGUAGAUAUCUGGAGGAACACCGGUGGCGAAGGCGGCGUCCUGGACCGGUAUUGACACUGAGGAGCGAAAGCCAGGGGAGCAAACGGGAUUAGAUACCCUUGUAGUCACG
rnacentral:rRNA from 1 species